rnacentral:lncRNA from 1 species
CUGAAUAGUUUGCACAAGAAAUGAAAUUAUCGCACUUAUUCCACAGAUAUAGCCAUUGAGGGAAUGAAGCCAAAAUUCCAUCAUCUUUGCAAGAGAAGUUUUUAAGGACUCACUUAACCCUGUGAAGCUUCUGUCCACAAGCUCAUGGUCUUUUGCUUCGCUCUGAAAAGAACAAACUGAGAUUAUUAACCUUUGCUUAAUCUGACUACACAGCCUUAUAGAAAAUAAAAAGCAUUCUAGCCACUGAAUCCUUCCAGGAGAAAAAAAAAAAAAAAAACGAGCUGAAGACAGCCUUCAUUCCAAGAGUAUUUUGGGCCACUGAUUUUUAUCACCCAGAAAUCAAUCAGAAGGGCACACAAUGCCUAGAAAUCCCAAACCAGCUACUACAUCUAAGAGGUUCAUGAAUGAAGGCCACGGUGUUUGUGAAUACAAGAGAAGAGAGAAAAUGUGUCUCGCUAGCAAAAUUCAAAGGAGAUGCCCAUCAAGAAGAAAACAAAAGCUUUCCUCUGACACCAUCUGGCAUAAGAAAGUAGAUCAGCUGUGCUCACACUGUCUUUGGAAGAUUUGGAUAUACCUGGAGCAAGUUUUCCUGAAAAUAAAAUUUCAGGGAAGUUCCUCAGGAUUUGGGAACGAAGUCACACCUAUUUGGGAAAGCUAUGGUAGGUGGUGGUGA